GAUGAACGCUGGCGGUGUGCCUAAUACAUGCAAGUCGAGCGAACAGACGAGGAGCUUACUCCUCUGACGUUAGCGGCGGACGGGUGAGUAACACGUGGAUAACCUACCUAUAAGACUGGGAUAACUUCGGGAAACCGGAGCUAAUACCGGAUAACAUGUUGAACCGCAUGGUUCAACAGUGAAAGACGGUCUUGCUGUCACUUAUAGAUGGAUCCGCGUCGCAUUAGCUAGUUGGUAAGGUAACGGCUUACCAAGGCAACGAUGCGUAGCCGACCUGAGAGGGUGAUAGGCCACACUGGAACUGAGACACGGUCCAGACUCCUACGGGAGGCAGCAGUAGGGAAUCUUCCGCAAUGGGCGAAAGCCUGACGGAGCAACGCCGCGUGAGUGAAGAAGGUCUUCGGAUCGUAAAACUCUGUUAUUAGGGAAGAACAAAUGUGUAAGUAACUAUGCACGUCUUGACGGUACCUAAUCAGAAAGCCACGGCUAACUACGUG
rnacentral:rRNA from 1 species